UGAACGCUGGCGGCAUGCUUUACACAUGCAAGUCGAACGGUAACAGGCCGCAAGGUGCUGACGAGUGGCGAACGGGUGAGUAAUGUAUCGGAACGUGCCCAGUCGUGGGGGAUAACGGCAGCGAAAGCUAGCGCUAAUACCGCAUACGAUCUACUGGAGUGAAAGCGGGGGACCGUAAGGCCUCGCGCGAUUGGAGCGGCCGAUAUCAGAUUAGGUAGUUGGUGGGGUAAAGGCUCACCAAGCCAACGAUCUGUAGCUGGUCUGAGAGGACGACCAGCCACACUGGGACUGAGACACGGCCCAGACUCCUACGGGAGGCAGCAGUGGGGAAUUUUGGACAAUGGCGGCAAGCCUGAUCCA
rnacentral:rRNA from 1 species